AUUGAACGCUGGCGGUAUGCUUAACACAUGCAAGUCGAACGGCAGCACAGUAUGUAGCAAUACAUAUGGGUGGCGAGUGGCGGACGGGUGAGUAACGCGUAGGAAUCUACCCUAAAGCGGGGGACAACCCGAGGAAACUCGGGCUAAUACCGCAUAAUCUCGAAAGAGUAAAGCUGGGGCAACCUGGCACUUUAGGAGGAGCCUGCGUCCGAUUAGCUAGUUGGUGAGGUAAAGGCUCACCAAGGCGAUGAUCGGUAGCUGGUCUGAGAGGAUGAUCAGCCACACUGGGACUGAGACACGUCCCAGACUCCUACGGGAGGCAGCAGUGGGGAAUAUUGGACAAUGGGGGCAACCCUGAUCAAGCAAUACCGAGUGUGUGAAGGAGGCCUUAGGGUUGUAAAGCACUUUAGUUGGGGAAGAAGGAUAGUUGUUUAAGAGAUGAUUAUUUUGACGGUACCCAAAGAAUAAGCACCGGCUAACUCUGUGCCAGCCGCCGCCGUAA
rnacentral:rRNA from 1 species